CUCCAUUCACUUUUGGGACCCAUCAGGUGUGACAUGUUCUCUUUCUAGCUAUGGAAGAGCUUUUUACUAUUGGAAAAGCUGUUAGCCUUUACAUGAUAUUAGGUUUGGACUUGUACAAGUAACAUUC
rnacentral:snoRNA from 1 species